AAGUCGUAACAAGGUUUCCGUAGGUGAACCUGCGGAAGGAUCAUUAAAAAAUGAGGUAUUUUAUACCUCUUGUAUUUAAAACCCAACUCUUUUAAAAUAUAUUUUUUUCAAAAAAAAAAACUUUCAACAAUGGAUCUCUUGGCUCUC
rnacentral:misc_RNA from 1 species